UCUCACCAGUGAUAUAGAGGGAGAAGCCGAAGUGUCUAGCAUCAGGGCAAGAGCUGGGGGAGAGCUUCCUUCCAGACAGAACUGCAGACAGCAGCCAUUGUACCUUUUCCAAGCCCUCCCCCGACAUAGGGCCACAG